UAGUGGCCAGGCUGGUCUUGAACUCCUGACCUCAAGUGAUCCACCCGCCUCGGCCUCCCAAAGUGCUGGGAUUACAGGCGUGAGCCACCACACCCAGCCUAGAGUUGUAUAGUUUUAAUUCUUCUACUUAGGUCUUUGAUCCAUUUUAAGUUAAUUUUGUACAUAGCGGUAAGUGUUCAACUUUAUUCUCUUGCAUUUGGCUACCAGUUGUUCCAGCACCAUUUCUUGAAAAUACUGAUCUUUCCCCCAUUAAAUUGUCUUGGCACCUGUGAUAUAGUGAAAUACAUGUUUGGUUUUCUUCCCCAUGUUCUGAUGUGCAGCUCCUAAAACCCUUAGAAUCUCUGGAGUGAUAAGAGUGUCUUUUGUAUGCUAAUGAGACGACUGGUGGCUGGGGACCCCUGGACAGCUUCAGGACAGGGGCUGGUCAACAGAAAGAUCAAGGCAUGGUUAGAGGACUGAGACUCUCAGCCCCAAACCCCAAGGAGUUGAUAACUAAGUUAUCAACUAAUGAUCAAUGAUCAAUUAUUUAGUCAAUCAUGCCUAUGUAAUGCAGCAUCCAUAAAACUCCAAAAGCACAGCAUUCUGGGAGCUUCCAGAUAGCUGGCCACAUGGAGAUUCCUGGAGGGAGGCAUGCCCAGCAAGAUCAUGGAAGCUCCGUGCCCCUUCUCCCAUUCCUUGCCCUAAGUAUCGCCUCCAUCUGGUUGUUUGUCUGUAUCCUUUAUUAAUAAACAAGUAAAUGUAAGUAAAGUGUUUCCCUGAGUUCUGUGAGCUGCUCUAGCAAAUUAAUAAAACCCAAGGAGGAAGUUAUGGGAACCCUGAUUUAGAGCCAGUUUCUCAAGAAUACUCACUUACUGGCAUCUAAAGUUUCUCAAGUACUACUCACUAUUGGCAUCUAAAAGUGGAGGGCAGUCUUGUGGGACUGGGCCCUCAGCCUGUCUCCAGGUAGACGAUAUCAGAAUGGAAUUGAAUUAGAGGACCCCUAAUGCCCACUGCAGAAUUGCUGGGUGUGUGGGGAGAUGACCUUCACACAUCCGGUAUCAGACGUAUUGUAUUGAGUGGUGUGUGAGUAGAGGGAAAAGCCACUUUUUCCCUAUAUCUUACAUAUUGGAUGCCUUUUCAUUUUAUUUCCUUGCCUAAUUGCCCAGGCUAAAACCUCUAGUACAAUGUUGAAUAAAAGUGUCAAGAGCUGACAUCCUUGUCUUGUCCCUGUUCAUGCAAGGAAAGCAUCUGGUCUUUCACCAUUCAGCAUCAUGUUAGCUGUGGAUUUCUUCUGGUGUUCUUUACUAUGCCAAGGAAAUUCCCU
rnacentral:lncRNA from 1 species